rnacentral:rRNA from 1 species
AGAGUUUGAUCAUGGCUCAGAACGAACGCUGGCGGCAGGCCUAACACAUGCAAGUCGAACGCAUCCUUCGGGGUGAGUGGCAGACGGGUGAGUAACACGUGGGAACGUGCCUUUCGGUUCGGGAUAACCCAGGGAAACUUGGGCUAAUACCGGAUACGCCCUUUGGGGGAAAGAUUGAUUGCCGAAAGAUCGGCCCGCGUCUGAUUAGCUAGUUGGUGAGGUAACGGCUCACCAAGGCGACGAUCAGUAGCUGGUCUGAGAGGAUGAUCAGCCACACUGGGACUGAGACACGGCCCAGACUCCUACGGGAGGCAGCAGUGGGGAAUAUUGGACAAUGGGCGCAAGCCUGAUCCAGCCAUGCCGCGUGAGUGAUGAAGGCCCUAGGGUUGUAAAGCUCUUUCGGCGGGGACGAUAAUGACGGUACCCGCAGAAGAAGCCCCGGCUAACUUCGUGCCAGCAGCCGCGGUAAUACGAAGGGGGCUAGCGUUGUUCGGAAUCACUGGGCGUAAAGGGCGCGUAGGCGGCCAUUCAAGUCGGGGGUGAAAGCCUGUGGCUCAACCACAGAAUUGCCUUCGAUACUGUUUGGCUUGAGACCGGAAGAGGUCAGUGGAACUGCGAGUGUAGAGGUGAAAUUCGUAGAUAUUCGCAAGAACACCAGUGGCGAAGGCGGCUGACUGGUCCGGUUCUGACGCUGAGGCGCGAAAGCGUGGGGAGCAAACAGGAUUAGAUACCCUAGUAGUCC